rnacentral:lncRNA from 1 species
AGAGUGAAAAAUAUAUUAAACUCGGUUAAUCCUGAUACAUACACUCAAGAGUUAGCCACUCUCUACUUUCGGGUUGUAACAUACCAGAUUUUGGUAUAAAAAUAAGAUUAAAUAAAAAUAGUGUGAGAAACUAUUUUUAUUGGAUUUGUAGAAGUAAAAAAUAAGUCAGAAGUGACUUGUGCUGAAAUCGGAAUGAAAACAGAAGAUCUAGAAUUUUCUGUUGGAAAUGGGACAGAUAAAUUAGCAGAAUAUGCACAGUCUCAGAAAAUUAUGAAAAUUGGAGGAUAAGUCAGAAAUAUUUUUAUGGGGUUAGAUUUAAAGUUUCAUAUUUUUCUGACACCCGCAGAGUGAGAAAUAAAAUCCGACAGCUAUCUGAUAAAGAUUACAGUUCGGCACAGUUUUUAGUGACCAAACGGGGUCGAAACUGAAAACUUAAAAUAUAUUCUUACUCAGUACGUUAAACUGAGCUUGUCUGUCAAAUUUGAGAUUAAACGGACAUUCAGAAGGGCUCCAACUAUUCCGAACUGCUAAAUAGCUGUCCGG